UGGGCCUAUAGCUCAGCUGGUUAGAGCGCACGCCUGAUAAGCGUGAGGUCGAUGGUUCGAGUCCAUUUAGACCCACCAU
rnacentral:tRNA from 9 species